GAGUCGUCACAGGUGCCGUAGGGCGUGAUCGGUACCCGUAGAGUUUGAUCGUGGCUUAGGUAAGGUUGAACGGGGGCCCCAUAAUUUUUUACCCUGCCCUUGACUCUGGGUUAAGCCUGGGAAACUGGGUCUAAUACCGGAUAUGACCUUCCAUCGCAUGGUGGUUGGUGGAAAGCUUUUGUGGUUUUGGAUGGACUCGCGGCCUAUCAGCUUGUUGGUGAGGUAAUGGCUUACCAAGGCGACGACGGGUAGCCGGCCUGAGAGGGUGACCGGCCACACUGGGACUGAGACACGGCCCAAACUCCUACGGGAGGCAGCAGUGGGGAAUAUUGCACAAUGGGCGCAAGCCUGAUGCAGCGACGCCGCGUGAGGGAUGACGGCCUUCGGGUUGUAAACCUCUUUCAGUAGGGAAGAAGCCGCAAGGUGACGGUACCUGCAGAAGAAGCGCCGGCUAACUACGUGCCAGCAGCCGCGGUAAUACGUAGGGCGCAAGCGUUAUCCGGAAUUAUUGGGCGUAAAGAGCUCGUAGGCGGUUUGUCGCGUCUGCCGUGAAAGUCCGGGGCUCAACUCCGGAUCUGCGGUGGGUACGGGCAGACUAGAGUGAUGUAGGGGAGACUGGAAUUCCUGGUGUAGCGGUGAAAUGCGCAGAUAUCAGGAGGAACACCGAUGGCGAGGCAGGUCUCUU
rnacentral:rRNA from 1 species